UCCCAAAGUCAUGGUUAAGUGGGAAACGAUGUGGGAAGGCCCAGACAGCCAGGAUGUUGGCUUAGAAGCAGCCAUCAUUUAAAGAAAGCGUAAUAGCUCACUGGUCGAGUCGGCCUGCGCGGAAGAUGUAACGGGGCUAAACCAUGCACCGAAGCUGCGGCAGCGACACUGUGUGUUGUUGGGUAGGGGAGCGUUCUGUAAGCCUGUGAAGGUGUGUCGUGAGGCAUGCUGGAGGUAUCAGAAGUGCGAAUGCUGACAUAAGUAACGAUAAAGCGGGUGAAAAGCCCGCUCGCCGGAAGACCAAGGGUUCCUGUCCAACGUUAAUCGGGGCAGGGUGAGUCGACCCCUAAGGCGAGGCCGAAAGGCGUAGUCGAUGGGAAACGGGUUAAUAUUCCCGUACUUGGUGUUACUGCGAAGGGGGGACGGAGAAGGCUAUGUUGGCCGGGCGACGGUUGUCCCGGUUUAAGCGUGUAGGUGUGUGUUCCAGGUAAAUCCGGUUCACUUUAACACUGAGGCGUGACGACGAGGCACUACGGUGCUGAAGCAACAAAUGCCCUGCUUCCAGGAAAAGCCUCUAAGCAUCAGGUAACAUCAAAUCGUACCCCAAACCGACACAGGUGGUCAGGUAGAGAAUACCAAGGCGCUUGAGAGAACUCGGGUGAAGGAACUAGGCAAAAUGGUGCCGUAACUUCGGGAGAAGGCACGCUGACACGUAGGUGAAGUGAUUUACUCAUGGAGCUGAAGUCAGUCGAAGAUACCAGCUGGCUGCAACUGUUUAUUAAAAACACAGCACUGUGCAAACACGAAAGUGGACGUAUACGGUGUGACGCCUGCCCGGUGCCGGAAGGUUAAUUGAUGGGGUCAGCGCAAGCGAAGCUCCUGAUCGAAGCCCCGGUAAACGGCGGCCGUAACUAUAACGGUCCUAAGGUAGCGAAAUUCCUUGUCGGGUAAGUUCCGACCUGCACGAAUGGCGUAAUGAUGGCCAGGCUGUCUCCACCCGAGACUCAGUGAAAUUGAACUCGCUGUGAAGAUGCAGUGUACCCGCGGCAAGACGGAAAGACCCCGUGAACCUUUACUAUAGCUUGACACUGAACAUUGAGCCUUGAUGUGUAGGAUAGGUGGGAGGCUUUGAAGUGUGGACGCCAGUCUGCAUGGAGCCGACCUUGAAAUACCACCCUUUAAUGUUUGAUGUUCUAACGUGGACCCGUUACCCGGGUUGCGGACAGUGUCUGGUGGGUAGUUUGACUGGGGCGGUCUCCUCC
rnacentral:rRNA from 1 species